UGAUCCCGUCUGUCCUGUUUUUGUUCGCCUUCCUUUGUUGCUGAUGGUUUCACGCUGUUUCCAUUCCUCUCCUUUCAUAUGACACAGAUUCUGUGCCUGAGCCACGUCCAAGGUGUUGGACUCCCUGCAGUUACAGCACAGACACUCAAUGCUGAGGACAUGACUUCCUGCUUCACUGACAGUGUCUGCAUUGUGACACUGGGAGCUCUUAAUUUCUUUUUCACUGUUGCUGGUCUUUUGGUAUCUACAGGAGACCAAGGUCGCAGUAGUCUAGAUGAUCUACACACAGUGAGAAGGAGCUUUCUUUAUGGGCAACACAGAGAAAACAGACAAGGAAGAAGCCCCCAGGGGAUGGAAAGUGCCUAGUGUCACUCUGUAAUACAUUAUGGAGAGAAAUGAAAUGCAAAGCCGUUGUGCAACAUGCCGCAAUGUCCAGACACUUGGAUGAAGAGGUGGAACCAGUUAUGUCUGUAUUUGGGAAAGCUGUUUGACAAGAUGAAACGUGAAUUGUCUACGGAGUGAUGCCAUUUGGACACUUCAGAUGCUGAUGCUUUGAGGCCAUUCAGAACCUAAACCUAAAAUAUAAUUCCUUGAAAAUCUAGUGCAAUUCAAGUGGAAAACAAAAACAGAGCCCCAACAUUCAUGCAAGUAGCAGCUCAGCUAAACAUAAACCAACCCGAACUGUGAAAACCAGCCCAAAGCAGCAUCAACACCAGAGUCAGAAGAAGCCAAGAAGGCUUUUCCCACAGCCGGACAUGGGGGACCCCAGCAGGCAGAGGUUCGCAGGGUCACUGCUCCCUGGAGGGCUCACCCCAACCGCAGCAGCACUUUCUCCAGCCCUGCCUCCAUUCCAGCUGGAACGGGCUGAGAAGUAACUGGAAGUUUCUUGUCAGAGCAGAUGCACAGCACAGCCAGUUCUUCCAUUGACAAACGAGCAAAGGAAAACAAAACAUCACACUGUCGUUUAAAAAUAGCUUUGGUAAAAAUACCACAGAGAGUGCUUUCACCCAGUAGAGAUUGGUGGCUGAUUAGGGAGGGUUAUCAGUAUACCUGGUGCUGGAUAAAACCCGAUCCUGCUGCUGGGCAUUCGCACUGAAUCAGGCAGAUUGUGAGUUUGUGAUGAAUGUCCAAGAAACUGUAGAAGUUUUCUGAUAACGCAGGAGUUUGAAACAAGGGGUUUCUGCUCCUUGCCUGCAAUGUGCCUUUAGAAAAGCCCCAUGUGGGCUGAAGCUGCAAAGUGACAUUUUUGGGGCUGGUGAGACAGAGCAGUUAGGAGGCAGCCGAGCAGGGUUUAGAUGUUAUUCCUUUCCCAUACCCAUUCUGUGUUCACGCCAAAGACAAGUUGGCUUGGUCCACUACUAAAGUAGGGUGAGCAACACUGUGCAAGGGUGAUUGCCAUCCUAUAAAUUAGAAGUAAAAGCAUUCAUAAGGUUCAGCCUAUGUUUGGAGACUUCCAUAAGUGAUGUCUGUGCCUCGUAGCCACGCUCUGAAGUGAUAACUGUUGAUCACAGGCUUUGCCAUGUGAUUUUGGGUAAGUUGAUCUGUGGAGUGUUCUUGCAGGGUUGUCAGUUCCAAUUUUAAAGCAGAGCGUAUGCAUGCAACAGUUUUCCAAUGGUGAAGAUCAAAUUGUGUGACCCAUUGCGACUUUUAACGUUCCUUCUGGUCUUCAGCCUCUUGAUUCUGCUUAUACAAUGAAUUCAGGUGUUAAAACCGAUGUGUUUUUCUCACUCUGUUUAUUACAAAGUACUUAGAGCAUCAUUUAAUGUGCAACUGUUAUUUGGAUCUAUUUGCAUUAUUCAAAUUAUUUCACCCAAUAGGGGAAUUAAUAUUCACUAGUGGAAGAAAAUCAAGUAGUGAACCAAACCCCACCAAUUUGUUGAACAUAUUUCAAGACAGAAGAAGAAAUGGACAUUAAGAGAGCAAGAGCAAAUCUUGAGCUCUUCUGGGAUGGUAUAAUUUGUUGGCUCAGUGCAGUCCCCUCAAGACCUAUCUUGACCCAUCACUCAUCUAAAGCUUCAUAGCUUGAGACACUGCUGAAAUCCAGAGUCUUGAAGCAUUGUCAGUACUUUAUUAAAAACACCCACAUUAGAAGUAAAGCAACUGGACAAGUAUCUUUGCUAGGCCAAGUGUCAUUCUCAUGACCCUAAGAUUAAGUAUCUUUCCUGUUUUCA